rnacentral:rRNA from 1 species
UACGAAGGGGGCUAGCGUUGUUCGGAAUCACUGGGCGUAAAGGGCGCGUAGGCGGCUUUAUAAGUCGGGGGUGAAAGCCUGUGGCUCAACCACAGAAUUGCCUUCGAUACUGUAGAGCUUGAGACCGGGAAGAGGUAAGUGGAACUGCGAGUGUAGAGGUGAAAUUCGUAGAUAUUCGCAAGAACACCAGUGGCGAAGGCGGCUUACUGGUCCGGUUCUGACGCUGAGGCGCGAAAAGCGUGGGGGAGCAAACAGG